rnacentral:misc_RNA from 1 species
UACGGAGGGGGUUAGCGUUGUUCGGAAUUACUGGGCGUAAAGCGCGCGUAGGAGGAUCAGAACGUUGGGGGUGAACUCCCGGGGCUCAACCUCGGAACUGCCUCCAAAACUCCUGGUCUUGAGGUCGAGAGAGGUGAUUGGAAUGCCGAGUGUAGAGGUGAAAUUCGUAGAUAUUCGGAGGAACACCAGUGGCGAAGGCGGCUCACUGGCUCGAUACUGACGCUGAGGUGCGAAAGUGUGGGGAGCAAACAGG